CGGGGGCUAGUUUAACAAAAACAUAUGAUUUCGGCUCAUAAAAUUGUGGUUAAAGCCCACAGCCGCUAA
rnacentral:tRNA from 1 species